AUGGCCCUUAUGGGUAGGGCUUCACACGUCAUACAAUGGUCGGUACAGAGGGUUGCCAAGCCGCGGGGCGGAGCCAAUCCCACAAAGCCGAUCGUAGUCCGGAUUGUUCUCUGCAACUCGAGAGCAUGAAGUCGGAAUCGCUAGUAAUCGCAGGUCAGCAUACUGCGGUGAAUACGUUCCCGGGUCUU
rnacentral:rRNA from 1 species